rnacentral:tRNA from 1 species
GGGGCUGUAGCUCAGAUGGAUAGAGCGAGGGGUUCCUAACCUCUAGGUCGCCGGUUCAACUCCGGCCAGCCCCACCA